CUCUUCUUCUUUAUCUUACUUCUUCUUCUUCUUUCUUCCUUCUCUUCUUCUGUUGUUGUGUCAGGUUCGAUUUGAGAGAGUUUAUCGAAGAGAAUUAGUUGAUGAAGAUGUAUGGAUGAUGAAGGCGAUGACGUGGUUGCAGUUCAUGGUGGAAAAAUCAUCCGGAGAUCAACGAAUUAGAGCAGGGAGAAUUGAAUUACUGUUUUGUGAUUUGGGUUUGAUUUUUAUAGAAUUGAUAAGUUAUUGGGUUGUUGUUUGACGAAGAACACAGGGGUUGAGGUUUAGUUGAAGUUCUGAACCUGUCCUAGUGAUGAAUCGACAUAAAAGAAGUUCGUCUUUAUUAACAACGAUGGAUUCAAAGGAUGAACCAGUGGAUCGUGGAUCUCGAGGUAGGCAUGGCUUGUCAUCAAUUUAGGUGGCAACUCUGUAACCUUUUGUAAUCAUUAACCUUUCUUUUAUCUGCGAGCAUGAUGAGUCUUUACUAUUCGAGUGCAUGAUAGCGUAUACUGUGAUGUUCAAUUUUAUGUAUCUUUGAGUAUGAUGUUUCUGUUGUAUCUGUAUGUACGAUGUUUUCUAUGAUGUGUUUUAUGUGUAAUAUGUAUUGUGAGAUUUCCCUGCGAGGAGUGACUGUGUUUCCCCACGGCUCCUUGCUAAGUUAAGGAAGGCGGAUGCUCUUCCUUCACAAUAUUAUUUAGUAAAGCGGAUGCUCUUCCGUUUAAAUAUUACUUAGUAGGGCGGAUGCUCUUCCGUAUGAAUAUUAUUAUACUUUAAUUUUAUUGUCUUAAGAUAGUAGGGAGGAUGCUCUUCCGUUUGUAUAUUACAUAGUAUGGCGGAUGCCUUUCCGUUUUAAUAUUAUAUAUAUUAUUUUAUCUUGGGGCAAUCACUCGUGUGCAUAUUAUACUUGUUUGUCUGACUUUCUGAUCUUGAUGGUAAUAUUCUGAAUCAUGGUUAGUAUGGGCACUCUGUAUGUGGACGAUGUUAUUAUCAUUGAUUAGGGUUAUUCUCGCAUAGUCUUCUCCAAUGAGUUUGGCGAGUUUAGGAUAACACUUGAUUCUUGUUACCUGGUUUUGCUGAAUGCUUAGAUUUAUUACUUUUUCCUUUAAUUUACUGUUAUUUUAGAACUGUGAAGCAUAUUAGUGAUUACUUGAAAGUUAUAUGUUUCCAUUGGGCACCCCAAUGGGAUGAUGUGAUCACUCGUUCCCAGUCAGUUUCAGUUUUCAGAAGAGACGGCGCGCAUGAAGAUAUUAGUUACGUAGAUCGAAACUUUAGCAGAUUAAGAACGUUUAUGUAACUUUUAUAUAUAUGUGUGUUCUUAUUUAUCUGUAAAACAACACAUUAAUAUAUCCAUAUCAUUUGACGGUUUUCAUCUAUUAA